rnacentral:rRNA from 1 species
AUUGAACGCUGGCGGAAUGCUUUACACAUGCAAGUCGAGCGGCAGCACGGGGGCAACCCUGGUGGCGAGCGGCGAACGGGUGAGUAAUACAUCGGAACAUGCCCAGUCGUGGGGGAUAACACUUCGAAAGAAGUGCUAAUACCGCAUACGUCCUGAGGGAGAAAGCGGGGGAUCUUCGGACCUCGCGCGAUUGGAGUGGCCGAUGUCAGAUUAGCUAGUUGGUGGGGUAAAGGCCUACCAAGGCAACGAUCUGUAGCUGGUCUGAGAAGAUGAUCAACCACACUGGGACUGAGACACGGCCCAGACUCCUACGGGAGGCAGCAGUGGGGAAUUUUGGACGAUGGGGGCAACCCUGAUCCAGCAAUACCGCGUGUGUGAAGAAGGCCUUUGGGUUGUAAAGCACUUUAGGCGGGGAAGAAGAUAAUUUGUUUAAGAGAUGAGUUAUUUGACGGUACCCGCAGAAUAAGCACCUGCUAACUCUGUGCCAGCAGCCGCCGUAACAC